CCUACGGGAGGCAGCAGUGGGGAAUUUUGGACAAUGGGGGCAACCCUGAUCCAGCAAUGCCGCGUGUGUGAAGAAGGCCUUCGGGUUGUAAAGCACUUUUGUCCGGAAAGAAAUCCCUUGCCCUAAUACGGCGGGGGGAUGACGGUACCGGAAGAAUAAGCACCGGCUAACUACGUGCCAGCAGCCGCGGUAAUACGUAGGGUGCGAGCGUUAAUCGGAAUUACUGGGCGUAAAGCGUGCGCAGGCGGUUUUGUAAGACAGGCGUGAAAUCCCCGAGCUCAACUUGGGAAUGGCGCUUGUGACUGCAAGGCUAGAGUAUGUCAGAGGGGGGUAGAAUUCCACGUGUAGCAGUGAAAUGCGUAGAGAUGUGGAGGAAUACCGAUGGCGAAGGCAGCCCCCUGGGACGUCACUGACGCUCAUGCACGAAAGCGUGGGGAGCAAACAGGAUUAGAUACCCUGGUAGUCCACGCCCUAAACGAUGUCAACUAGUUGUUGGGGAUUCUAUUCUUCUAGUAACGUAGUACUACGUCGUGUAGUAGACCGCCGUCGGGAGGUACGGUCGCGAAGUAAACGUACGAAGAAGUAGACGGCGUGAGACGUGCCGAACGGACGACGACGAGGGAGGUAGG
rnacentral:rRNA from 1 species